UACAGAGGUGGCAAGCGUUGUUCGGAAUUACUGGGCGUAAAGGGCGCGUAGGCGGCCUUCUAAGUCAGACGUGAAAUCCCCCGGCUUAACCGGGAGGGUGGCAUUGAUACUGCAGGACUUGAGUAAAGUUGAGGUAGGCGGAAUUGACGGUGUAGCGGUGAAAUGCUUAGAUAUCGUCAAGAACACCGAUAGUGAAGACAGCUUACUAAACUUUAACUGACGCUGAGGCACGAAAGUGUGGGGAUCAAACAGG
rnacentral:rRNA from 1 species